rnacentral:rRNA from 1 species
CGAGACCUCAGGUCAGGCGGGGCUACCCGCUGAAUUUAAGCAUAUCAAUAAGCGGAGGAAAAGAACCUAACAAGGAUUCCCUUAGUAACGG